rnacentral:SRP_RNA from 1 species
GCCAGGCGUGGUGGCGCAUGCCUGUAAUCCCAGCUACUCGGGAGGCUGAGGCAGAAGAAUCGCUUGAAGCCGGGAGGUGGGGGCUGCAGUGAGCUGAUAUCGUACCACUGCACACCAGCCUGGGCAACACAGUGAGACUCUGUCUCCA